rnacentral:rRNA from 1 species
CAGUAGCCGCGGGAAUACGUAGGUGGCAAGCGUUGUCCGGAAUUAUUGGGCGUAAAGGGCUCGCAGGCGGUUUCUUAAGUCUGAUGUGAAAGCCCCCGGCUCAACCGGGGAGGGUCAUUGGAAACUGGGAAACUUGAGUGCAGAAGAGGAGAGUGGAAUUCCACGUGUAGCGGUGAAAUGCGUAGAGAUGUGGAGGAACACCAGUGGCGAAGGCGACUCUCUGGUCUGUAACUGAUGCUGAGGAGCGAAAGCGUGGGGAGCGAACAGGAUUAGAUACCCGCGUAGUCCCUGUCUCUUAUAC